AGGGCGCACGGUGGAUGCCUUGGCACAAGAAGCCGAUGAAGGACGUGUGAAUCUGCGAUAAGCCUCGGGGAGUCGAUAACAGGACGUUGAUUCGAGGAUUUCCGAAUGGGGGAACCCCGCCACUUGUCAAGGGUGGUGACCUGCACCUGAAUGUAUAGGGUGUGUGGAGGGAACGAGGGGAAGUGAAACAUCUCAGUACCCUCAGGAAGAGAAAAUAACUAAUGAUUCUGUGAGUAGUGGCGAGCGAAAGCGGAUGAGACUAAACCUGUGGUGUGUGAUACCGGUGAGGGGUUGCAUCAUGGGGGUUGUGGGAGUGAUGCGUGCCAGUUCUUACCGGCUGGUGGUGUGGUGUGUUGCGGUAGGCGAAGCGUCUGGGAUGGCGUGCCGGAGAGGGUGAGAGUCCUGUAGCUGAAACCGUGGUGCCUGCAUUGUGUUGUUUCCCGAGUAGCACGGGGCCCGUGAAAUCUCGUGUGAAUCUGCCAGGACCACCUGGUAAGUCUAAAUACUUUCUUGUGACCGAUAGUGGAUCAGUACCGUGAGGGAAUGGUGAAAAGUACCCCGGGAGGGGAGUGAAAUAGUACCUGAAACCGUGUGCCUACAAGCCGUCAGAGCCUUUUGGGGUGAUGGCGUGCCUUUUGAAGAAUGAGCCUGCGAGUUAGUGUUCUGUCGCGAGGUUAACCCGUGUGGGGUAGUCGUAGCGAAAGCGAGUCUGAAGAGGGCGUGUGAGUGGCAGGAUCUAGACCCGAAGCGGAGUGAUCUACCCAUGGCCAGGUUGAAGCGUGUGUAAGAGCGCGUGGAGGACCGAACCCACUUCAGUUGAAAAUGGAGGGGAUGAGCUGUGGGUAGGGGUGAAAGGCCAAUCAAACUCUGUGAUAGCUGGUUCUCCCCGAAAUGCAUUUAGGUGCAGCGUUGCGUGUUGCUUGCUGGAGGUAGAGCUACUGGUUGGCUGAUGGGCCUUAUCGGGUUACUGACGUCAGCCAAACUCCGAAUGCCGGUAAGUUUUAGCGUGGCAGUGAGACAGUGGGGGAUAAGCUUCAUUGUCGAGAGGGAAACAGCCCAGACCAUCAACUAAGGCCCCUAAGCGUGUGCUAAGUGGGAAAGGAUGUGGAGUUGCUGAGACAACCAGGAGGUUGGCUUAGAAGCAGCCAUCCUUGAAAGAGUGCGUAAUAGCUCACUGGUCAAGUGAUUGAGCGCCGAUAAUGUAGCGGGGCUAAGUACACCGCCGAAGUUGUGGCAGCACCACGUAUAGCCGUAAUGGUGUGGUGUUGGGUAGGGGAGCGUCGAGUUGCUGGUGAAGUCGCCGUGUGAACGAGUGGUGGAAGCGAUUCGAGUGAGAAUGCAGGCAUGAGUAGCGAAAGACGGGUGAGAAACCCGUCCACCGGAUGACCAAGGGUUCCAGGGCUAGGCUAAUCCGCCCUGGGUAAGUCGGGACCUAAGGCGAGGCCGACAGGCGUAGUCGAUGGACAACCAGUUGAUAUUCUGGUACCGACACACAACCGACAGUACCAAAACACAUGAGACUAACCCUGUGAUGACCCCGUCAGGCCUUCGGGCCUGUGGUUGGGUUUGAGUGGGGGACCUGAGUGUGGAGUCGGUAAGCGUGAGGUGUGACGCAGAAAGGUAGCCAGGCCGUGCGAUGGUAGUCACGGUCUAAGGUUGUAGCACGUGGGGGUAGGUAAAUCCGUCCCCGCAAGUGUGUGAGAGCUGAUGGGCGCCCCACAUUGGUGGGGUGAUCUGGUGAUCCUCUGCUGCCGAGAAAAGCAUCGACGUGAGGGUGUGUGUUGCCCGUACCCUAUAACCGACACAGGUGGUCGAGUAGAGAAUACUAAGGUGAUCGAGAGAAUCGUGGUUAAGGAACUCGGCAAAAUGCCCCCGUAACUUCGGGAGAAGGGGGACCAUCCCGGUGAACCAUCCUUGCGGUGGGAUGUGCUGGUGGUGGUCGCAGAGGCCAGAGAGAAGCGACUGUUUAUUAAAAACACAGGUCCGUGCGAAGAUGUAAGUCGAUGUAUACGGACUGACGCCUGCCCGGUGCUGGAAGGUUAAGAGGACCUGUUAGACCCUUGUGGUCGAAGCGGAGAAUUUAAGCCCCAGUAAACGGCGGUGGUAACUAUAACCAUCCUAAGGUAGCGAAAUUCCUUGUCGGGUAAGUUCCGACCUGCACGAAUGGCGUAACGACUUCUCUGCUGUCUCAACCACAGGCCCGGUGAAAUUGCACUACGAGUAAAGAUGCUCGUUACGCGCGGCAGGACGAAAAGACCCCGGGACCUUCACUAUAGCUUGGUAUUGGUGUUCGGUUCGGUUUGUGUAGGAUAGGUGGGAGACUGUGAAGCAUUCACGCUAGUGGGUGUGGAGUCGUUGUUGAAAUACCACUCUGAUCGGAUUGGAUACCUGAACCUUGGCCCAUGAUCUGGGUUGGGGACAGUGCCUGGUGGGUAGUUUAACUGGGGCGGUUGCCUCCUAAAAUGUAACGGAGGCGCCCAAAGGUUCCCUCAGCCUGGUUGGCAAUCAGGUGGUGAGUGUAAGUGCACAAGGGAGCUUGACUGUGAGACUGACAGGUCGAGCAGGGACGAAAGUCGGGACUAGUGAUCCGGCACCUACUUGUGGAAGUGGUGUCGCUCAACGGAUAAAAGGUACCCCGGGGAUAACAGGCUGAUCUUCCCCAAGAGUCCAUAUCGACGGGAUGGUUUGGCACCUCGAUGUCGGCUCGUCGCAUCCUGGGGCUGUAGCAGGUCCCAAGGGUUCGGCUGUUCGCCGAUUAAAGCGGCACGCGAGCUGGGUUCAGAACGUCGUGAGACAGUUUGGUCUCUAUCCUCUGCGCUCGUUGGAAUUUUGAGAAGACCUGCCCAUAGUACGAGAGGACCUGGGUGGACGAACCUCUGGUAUGCCAGUUGUCGCGCCAGCGGCACGGCUGGUUAGCUACGUUCGGAAGGGAUAACCGCUGAAAGCAUCUAAGCGGGAAGCCUGCUUCAAGAUAAGAAUUCCAUGAGACCUCGAGUCUCUGAAGACUCCAUGUAGAACACAUGGUUGA
rnacentral:rRNA from 1 species